ACUGGCCACAGAAAUGUCCCAGGAGUAGCUGCUGUGUACCAUGUGCAUUACUAGGUGACAGAGAAUAGGCUAUGUCUGUGCAAAAUAUUCUGACACGUGAACAUUUAAAUAAUUAGUAGUCUAAUGUU